ensembl:lncRNA
GCUACUUUUUGUACGUACUAUAUUCUUUCUAUAUUUACCCUUGUGUUAUUAUUUUUGCCCAUUCUUAUAGCUGUGAUUCUUGGUCUAAUUCUGUCCUCUAAGGGAUUAAUGAAGUUUCUUUAUUUUCUUAAAGGUGAAGAUGCACGAGCUGACAGUGGUCACCUGCUGGUGUCUCAACACUGAGGUUCUCCAGGGCUUGGUGAGAGGCAUAAAGAUUCCAGAUUGGCUUUGCUUUCCUGGAGCAAUUUUUCAUCCAUCCACUGCAGAGCAUGAAGACAAAACAGAGAAGGCAGUGAUGAGGAGACACAGGAGUUAGCGACUUCAAUCAACGUCCAUGUUCUCUCCACCCAGACUCAGCUCAGUCUGCAGUACACAUGAGAG